GAUGAAGAACGCAGCGAAAUGCGAUAAGUAAUGUGAAUUGCAGAAUUCAGUGAAUCAUCGAAUCUUUGAACGCACAUUGCGCCCUCUGGUAUUCCGGAGGGCAUGCCUGUUCGAGCGUCAUUAUACCACUCAAGCCUGGCUUGGUGUUGGGCGACGUCCCCUUUGGGGACGCGCCUCGAAACGCUCGGCGGCGUGGCACCGGCUUUAAGCGUAGCAGAAUCUUUCGCUUUGGAAGUCGGGGCCCCGUCUGCCGGAAGACCUACUCGCAAGGUUGACCUCGGAUCAGGCAGGGAUACCCGCUGAACUUAAGCAUAUCAAUAAGCGGAGGA
rnacentral:misc_RNA from 1 species